UAGAACGCUGGCGGCAGGCCUAACACAUGCAAGUCGAGCGGUAGAGAGGUGCUUGCACCUCUUGAGAGCGGCGGACGGGUGAGUAAUGCCUAGGAAUCUGCCUGGUAGUGGGGGAUAACGCUCGGAAACGGACGCUAAUACCGCAUACGUCCUACGGGAGAAAGCAGGGGACCUUCGGGCCUUGCGCUAUCAGAUGAGCCUAGGUCGGAUUAGCUAGUUGGUGAGGUAAUGGCUCACCAAGGCGACGAUCCGUAACUGGUCUGAGAGGAUGAUCAGUCACACUGGAACUGAGACACGGUCCAGACUCCUACGGGAGGCAGCAGUGGGGAAUAUUGGACAAUGGGCGAAAGCCUGAUCCAGCCAUGCCGCGUGUGUGAAGAAGGUCUUCGGAUUGUAAAGCACUUUAAGUUGGGAGGAAGGGCAUUAACCUAAUACGUUAGUGUUUUGACGUUACCGACAGAAUAAGCACCGGCUAACUCUGUGCCAGCAGCCGCGGUAAUACAGAGGGUGCAAGCGUUAAUCGGAAUUACUGGGCGUAAAGCGCGCGUAGGUGGUUUGUUAAGUUGGAUGUGAAAGCCCCGGGCUCAACCUGGGAACUGCAUUCAAAACUGAC
rnacentral:rRNA from 2 species